UACGUAAAUAGCAAGCGUUGUCCGGAUUUACUGGGCGUAAAGAGCGCGCAGGCGGUCGGAUAAGUCGAAUGUGAAAGCCCCCGGCUCAACUGGGGAGGGUCGUUCGAUACUGUCCGACUCGAAGGCAGGAGAGGGAAGCGGAAUUCCCGGUGUAGUGGUGAAAUGCGUAGAUAUCGGGAGGAACACCAGUGGCGAAGGCGGCUUUCUGGCCUGCUCUUGACGCUGAGGCGCGAAAGCUAGGGGAGCAAACGGG
rnacentral:rRNA from 1 species